UACGAAGGGUGCAAGCGUUACUCGGAAUUACUGGGCGUAAAGCGUGCGUAGGCGGUUUGUUAAGUCUGAUGUGAAAGCCCUGGGCUCAACCUGGGAAUGGCAUUGGAUACUGGCAACCUAGAAUGUGGUAGAGGGUGGCGGAAUUCCCGGUGUAGCAGUGAAAUGCGCAGAUAUCAGGAGGAACACCGGUGGCGAAGGCGGCAUCCUGGACCGGCAUUGACGCUGAGGCGCGAAAGCCAGGGGAGCAAACGGG
rnacentral:rRNA from 1 species